rnacentral:rRNA from 1 species
GCCCAUAACACUGGGAUAACUCCGGGAAACCGGGGCUAAUACCGGAUAACAUUUUGAACCGCAUGGUUCGAAAUUGAAAGGCGGCUUCGGCUGUCACUUAUGGAUGGACCCGCGUCGCAUUAGCUAGUUGGUGAGGUAACGGCUCACCAAGGCAACGAUGCGUAGCCGACCUGAGAGGGUGAUCGGCCACACUGGGACUGAGACACGGCCCAGACUCCUACGGGAGGCAGCAGUAGGGAAUCUUCCGCAAUGGACGAAAGUCUGACGGAGCAACGCCGCGUGAGUGAUGAAGGCUUUCGGGUCGUAAAACUCUGUUGUUAGGGAAGAACAAGUGCUAGUUGAAUAAGCUGGCACCUUGACGGUACCUAACCAGAAAGCCACGGCUAACUACGUGCCAGCAGCCGCGGUAAUACGUAGGUGGCAAGCGUUAUCCGGAAUUAUUGGGCGUAAAGCGCGCGCAGGUGGUUUCUUAAGUCUGAUGUGAAAGCCCACGGCUCAACCGUGGAGGGUCAUUGGAAACUGGGAGACUUGAGUGCAGAAGAGGAAAGUGGAAUUCCAUGUGUAGCGGUGAAAUGCGUAGAGAUAUGGAGGAACACCAGUGGCGAAGGCGACUUUCUGGGUCUGUAGCUGACACUGAGGGCGCGAAAGCGUGGGGAGCAAACAGGAUUAGA